UAUUACUACCCAUAUUACCCUGUAUGCACCCAAUCUCAUCUGAUCUCGGAAGCUAUGCAGGGUCAGGCCUGGUUAAUACUUGGAUGGGAGAUGAGUUUCAAAUUCAGUUACCAUGAAAA
rfam:Ovis aries breed Texel chromosome 4, whole genome shotgun sequence.